AGCCAUACUGUGAGUCCAAGCUAUGUCAUUGGCUCGCAAACCCAUCAACCUGACUGACCACUUGACAGUAGGAUCAAGAAAAGCAAAGGCACCUCUGGAAGGCAGAUACCCCAUGAACCAUUUGUACAACAGCUGAGCACAACAUCGGAUCAAUCCCCCACGCCGCUUCUCGUUCCGAUUAUGGACCGAGUAAUAUACAUCCCCAACCAGAGUAGGAAUGGGAUUCCUCUGCAUAAAC
rnacentral:lncRNA from 1 species